rnacentral:rRNA from 1 species
GGACGACCGCUGGCGGCGUGCUUAACACAUGCAAGUCGAACGAGAAAGGGACUUCGGUCCUGAGUACAGUGGCGCACGGGUGAGUAACACGUGGAUAAUCUGCCUGAUGGACAGGGNAUAACAUCUCGAAAGAGGUGCUAAUACCAGAUAAGCCCACAGCAUCUACGGAUGCAGCGGGAAAAGGGGGCCUCUUCAUGAAAGCUUCCACCAACAGAUGAGUCCGCGGUCCAUUAGCUAGUUGGUAGGGUAAUGGCCUACCAAGGCCACGAUGGAUAGCUGGUUUGAGAGAAUGAUCAGCCACACUGGAACUGAGACACGGUCCAGACUCCUACGGGAGGCAGCAGUGGGGAAUAUUGCGCAAUGGGGGCAACCCUGACGCAGCAACGCCGCGUGAGUGAUGAAGGUUUUCGGAUCGUAAAGCUCUGUCAAGAGGGAAGAAACCCCGAUAGGCUAAUACCUUGUCGGAUUGACGGUACCUCUAAAGGAAGCACCGGCUAACUCCGUGCCAGCAGCCGCGGUAAUACGGAGGGUGCGAGCGUUGUUCGGAAUUAUUGGGCGUAAAGCGCGUGCAGGCGGUUGUUUAAGUCUGAUGUGAAAGCCCCGGGCUCAACCUGGGAAGUGCAUUGGAAACUUGGGCAACUUGAGUUACGGGAGAGGGAAGUGGAAUUUUGAGUGUAGGGGGUGAAAUCCGUAGAUAUUCGAAGGAACACC